UACGGGGGGGGGCAAGCGUUGUUCGGAAUUACUGGGCGUAAAGGCUCGUAGGCGGCCAACUAAGUCCGACGUGAAAUCCCAAGGCUUAACCUUGGAACUGCGUCGGAUACUGGAUGGCUUGAAUUCGGGAGAGGGAUGCAGAAUUCCAGGUGUAGCGGUGAAAUGCGUAGAUAUCUGGAGGAAUACCGGUGGCCGAAGGCGGCAUCCUGGACCGACAUUGACGCUGAUGAGCGAAAGCUAAGGGGAGCAAACGGG
rnacentral:rRNA from 1 species